rnacentral:lncRNA from 1 species
UUGGAUGGAGAAUUUUAAGGGAUUUUAAUUACAGGUGGAUUUUAAAGUUCAAUAGCCUUUAAAUACAAUUAAGAUGGAUUUGGUAUGAAAGAGAUGAAAUCCUUUGAAAAGUGUUAGGAUUGUGUUUGUACGUGUUUUAGAUGUAAAAUACAUUAAAAUCUUAAAGAAAACAAAAUCCAUUGAAAAUUGAAUAACGCUUGUUUUAAAAUACUUUAAAAUACAUCCAACAAAUGUUAAGGGGGUGUUAUUCAAUACUGUAUUUUAAAGGAAUUAGAGGUAUUUUAAAAUCCAGCGUUAUUCAAUUAAGUAUUUUAAAAAGUACAUUAAAAUCUGUUGUUAUUGGAUCAUGCAUUUAUUUGGUGUAUUUUAGAAUACGUUCAAAACCACUGUUAUUCAAUGUCUUCUUGAUUCUGCCUUAUUUUAGAUUUCGUUGUAUUUUACCCCAAAAAUAUGAACAAACACAAUCCGCCAUAUUUCUCUGAGUAUUUCAAUUCAUUUUCUAUAAUUGAAUUGAGAUUCGAAGAAAUACAAGAUGGCUCUGAGCCUCUAACCAAAGGAUCUCUACAUCAACCUGAUCGGGUGCUCUGCACAGCUUGCAAAUCCUCAGAUCUGAUUAUGCCUAUCAAAAAUUAAAGUUGGAGCUAUUGCCCUCGAGGCGAAGUUAGAGCUGUUUAGAAGUUAUCGUAACAGUGCUGGGAUCACAUAGCUUAUGGAUCAACUCUUUCCUCGUCAUUACUUGGCUCUUCAACUUUCUUUCUUCUCAUUUCAUCUCUUUUGUGUUUUUUAAAGUUUGACACUUGCUUUUGAAUUUUCUCUGGUAUAUCAUUCUUGGACAUAUUUUGUAAGAAAUUGGCAAUUCAAUGAUCUUUUGGAGAACAAUCUAGAUGUUGGAGCCACCAGUAGAGAGAGCAAUAGGAUUGGGGAUUAUGAUCUGGGAAACUGUUAAAUUAAAUCUCUUCAGCAUCAAAUUGGAUUAGGGAUUCUGAAUUUUAUUUGAGUAGUUAUUGGUUGCUAUUUGCUAUAGGUUCUUGCAGUUACGUAUUUCAUAAUUGUUUAUAUAAGUGACAAGGAUCUUUUCGCCGAGUUAUACAAGUUUAGUUAGUAAUUUAAUUUGUAUUCUGGUUCACAAUACUAUCUCAUGUCUUUGUGUUGUGAAUUGGUGUGUCUCCAAUAUCAAAUGAAGUUCCCCUAUUCAAAUGUGUCGUUCGUUGGUUUCUUGUCAUAUAUUGGGUUGGUAUCAAUUUCUUUCUCUGGUUCACAAUACUAUCUCAUGUCUCUCGUUUCUCCCUUUGUCUCUCUUUUGAGUUUUUGUGAUUGUUUCCUCUGCUCUUAGUAGCGUUAUUGCGAAGAACUGAAUUUACACAUGUAAUGAAAUGCCAAAACUGAAUUCACACAGAUAUAAGCAAUGGAAAAGAAAACCAUAGAGGGGGUUUAAGCAACACCACUUCGUUGGCUUGGUUUUGGGAACCUUUUUUGGAGUAGCAGGAGGAGGAGCCGCAUCCGAUGGAGGUUGAUGAUUCCAUCUCCGACUGUGGUGACAAGAUAGGACCGUCGUGUUCACCGUUGGAUCCGAAAACGUCGUCAUCGUUCAAAUAAGUCAGAAGCAAAACACCGUCCACAGUCAUGGACUGAGCGCCAUCGUAGGCUCAGGCUGAGAAUAAUAGAAAUGAGAAUAGUAGAAAGUGCAUGAGUUAACAUACUCAAUGAAUAUAACGAAAGGUUGUAGUUUAUUUUAUAUUUUACUUAACUUCAAAAAUAAUAAUAUUUCACUAGUAAUGUCUUUCAAAUCUCUAAUAAUGCCUUUCAAAUCCACUGAUAAUGACAUCCUAAU